UACGUAGGGGGCAAGCGUUGCCCGGAUUUAUUGGGCGUAAAGAGCUCGUAGGCGGUUCGACAAGUCGGAUGUGAAAUCUCCACGCUCAACGUGGAGGGGCCAUUCGAAACUGUCGUGACUUGAGUCCGGUAGGGGAGUGUGGAAUUCCCGGUGUAGCGGUGAAAUGCGCAGAGAUCGGGAGGAACACCCGUAGCGAAGGCGGCACUCUGGGCCGUGACUGACGCUGAGGAGCGAAAGCGUGGGGAGCAAACAGG
rnacentral:rRNA from 1 species